CCUACGGGAGGCAGCAGUGAGGAAUAUUGGUCAAUGGGCGCGAGCCUGAACCAGCCAAGUCGCGUGAAGGAAGAAUGCCCUGCGGAUCGUAAACCUCUUUUGUAAGGGAACAAAGUGAGGCACGAGUGCCCGGUUGUGGGUACCUGAUGAAAAAGGAUCGGCUAACUCCGUGCCAGCAGCCGCGGUAAUACGGAGGAUGCGAGCGUUAUCCGGUUUUAUGGGGUUAAAGGGGAGCGCAGUCGGGUUGUUAAGUCAGUGGUCAAAGGCGGGGGCUCAACCGCAGCUUGCCGUUGAAACUGGCAGGCUUGAGUUCGGGAGAGGUAGGCGGAAUGCGCGGUGUAGCGGUGAAAUGCUUAGAUAUCGCGCAGAACCCCGAUUGCGAAGGCAGCUUAC
rnacentral:rRNA from 1 species